rnacentral:rRNA from 1 species
CGAGAAGACCCUGUGGAGCUUAAGACUCAGUGUAGACUAUGAAAAAUACUUUAACCAAAAAGAAAUAGCGCAAAGAUCACUACACAAAUGUCUUUGGUUGGGGCGACCUAGG